GUUGUGGGUUUCUCUGAAAGCAGAGCCUAGGAGAGGGGAGUGGACAGCGAUACGAUUACAGACUGUUACACACAUUUCCCGGAGCCGUAAAUCCUGGCUCAUUUUAACCCAGUGUACCAAAGGGAUUAAGCUGACAGAGGAGUCAAAGAGAAAAGAAGACAAGCCACCUUCCGGGACUGACUGUGCAAAGAGCGGAGGCCCAGUCUGAAGCAUCUGUGAAACCACACAUUGAGACGACUGAGGCAUGUGAUGAGAGCCACAUGAGAGGCAUGUGACCCUGGAUCCCUAGGUCACUCCACAGAGGAAAUCUGCCCCAAGAAUUGCCUGAUGGCUGAACUUUGUAUGCUUCCCGUGCUUUUCAACAUACGUCUCCUGGGGGCAGAGAUUGUCCUCUAUCGCUUAUUCAAUCAACAAACAUUUAUCAGCGGCUGGUCAGUGGGGAAUGAGAUGGAUGGCCAAGUUCCUGUACUUGCAGACGCCACCUGUGGCUAUCGAGAACUUGAAGUGCAGCCAGGCCAAACUGAGAUGGGCUGUCCGUGUAAAAUAGAAACCACGUUUCGGAGACUUAGUGUGCAAAUAAGAAGGUA